rnacentral:rRNA from 1 species
AUUGAACGCUGGCGGCAGGCCUAACACAUGCAAGUCGAACGGUAGCACAGAGAGCUUGCUCUCGGGUGACGAGUGGCGGACGGGUGAGUAAUGUUUGGGAAACUGCCUGAUGGAGGGGGAUAACUACUGGAAACGGUAGCUAAUACCGCAUAACGUCGCAAGACCAAAGAGGGGGACCUUCGGGCCUCUUGCCAUCAGAUGUGCCCCGAUGGGAUUAGCUAGUAGGUGGGGUAACGGCUCACCUAGGCGACGAUCCCUAGCUGGUUUGAGAGGAUGACCAGCCCCCCUGGAAAUGAGACCCGGUCCCGACUCCUACGGGAGGCAGCAGUGGGGAAUAUUGCACAAUGGGCGCAAGCCUGAUGCAGCCCUGCCGCGUGUGUGAAGAAGGCCUUCGGGUUGUAAAGCACUUUCAGCGGGGAGGAAGGCGAUAAGGUUAAUAACCUUGUCGAUUGACGUUACCCGCAGAAGAAGCCCCGGCUAACUCCGUG